UGUUCCAAAUAUUCUAUCAGAAGUUGCACAGAAGAAAAAGGUUUCCAUGGACAUAGGUGCAAUCGUUGGUAUGGUAGUCGAUAUCGUUCUGUUAGCUUGUGUUGUAUCAAUAAAUUGUCUCAUCAGAAGGUCAGGUUCGUGCAGAAAAAGGACAGAAAACCAAGAAACCGUCCCUGACAAUAGCGAUAACAUUGGCAAAGACGGUCCAACUUUACCUAGAGUUAGUGAUGGCAAAAAUAAACAAAAUAGUCACUGCAAUGGAAAGAAAAACAAUUAUAAUACAAACAUUUAUGACAGUGCAAUAGAGGAGGUAUAACAAAGCCGCUUUUUGACCACUAGAAUAAAAAAAAACAUUUAAAAUAUGAUAUAUUUAUCACAAAAAUCACAUGUUCACAUAUU